rnacentral:rRNA from 1 species
UACGUAGGGUGCAAGCGUUAAUCGGAAUUACUGGGCGUAAAGCGUGCGCAGGCGGUUGUGUAAGUCAGAUGUGAAAUCCCCGGGCUCAACCUGGGAAUGGCAUUUGAGACUGCACAGCUAGAGUGUGUCAGAGGGGGGUAGAAUUCCACGUGUAGCAGUGAAAUGCGUAGAGAUGUGGAGGAAUACCGAUGGCGAAGGCAGCCCCCUGGGAUAACACUGACGCUCAUGCACGAAAGCGUGGGGAACAAACAGG